UUGGUGACUCAUAAUAACUUUACGGAUCACAUUUUUUAUGUGACAUAUCAUUCAAGUUUCUGACCUAUCAGCUUUAGACGGUAGGGUAUUGGCCUACCGUGGCUAUGACGGGUAACGGGGAAUUAGGGUUCGAUUCCGGAGAGGGAGCCUGAGAAACGGCUACCACAUCUAAGGAAGGCAGCAGGCGCGCAAAUUACCCAAUCCUAAUACAGGGAGGUAGUGACAAGAAAUAACAAUACAGAACUUUAAAAGUUUUGUAAUUGGAAUGAGUUAAGUAUAAACCCCUUUACAAGUAUCAAUUGGAGGGCAAGUCUGGUGCCAGCAGCCGCGGUAAUUCCAGCUCCAAUAGCGUAUAUUAAAGUUGUUGCAGUUAAAAAGCUCGUAGUUGGAUUUCUGUUAUUAAUUUAUAUUAUAAUACGUAUUUGUAUUUAUUAUAAGUAUUAACAUAAUUCAUAUUACUUUUUAAUUAUAUGAAACUUUACUUUGAGAAAAUUAGAGUGCUUAAAGCAGGCUAUUGCCUUGAAUACUCCAGCAUGGAAUAAUAAUAAAAGAUUUUUAUUCUUCUUUUAUUGGUUCUAGAAUAAAAAUAAUGAUUAAUAGGGACAGUUGGGGGCAUUUGUAUUUAACAGUCAGAGGUGAAAUUCUUAGAUUUGUUAAAGACAAACUACUGCGAAAGCAUUUGCCAAGGAUGUUUUCAUUAAUCAAGAACGAAAGUUAGGGGAUCGAAGACGAUCAGAUACCGUCGUAGU
rnacentral:rRNA from 1 species